rnacentral:sRNA from 1 species
CCCGGCAAGAACGCCGGAAACGCUUCAAGUAUGCGAGUUUUAGGCACAAGCCUAAAACUCGGUUUGAAAACCGUGCAUCCUGCACGGUUUUCAUAACUG